AACGAACGCUGGCGGCAUGCCUAACACAUGCAAGUCGAACGAGGUCUUCGGGUCUAGUGGCGCACGGGUGCGUAACGCGUGGGAAUCUGCCCUUUGGUUCGGAAUAACAGUUGGAAACGACUGCUAAUACCGGAUGAUGACGAAAGUCCAAGGAUUUAUCGCCAGAGGAUGAGCCCGCGUAGGAUUAGCUAGUUGGUGUGGUAAAGGCGCACCAAGGCGACGAUCCUUAGCUGGUCUGAGAGGAUGAUCAGCCACACUGGGACUGAGACACGGCCCAGACUCCUACGGGAGGCAGCAGUGGGGAAUAUUGGACAAUGGGCGAAAGCCUGAUCCAGCAAUGCCGCGUGAGUGAUGAAGGCCUUAGGGUUGUAAAGCUCUUUUACCCGGGAUGAUAAUGACAGUACCGGGAGAAUAAGCUCCGGCUAACUACGUGCCAGCCGCCGCGGUAA
rnacentral:rRNA from 1 species